rnacentral:rRNA from 1 species
GACGAACGCUGGCGGCGUGCCUAAUACAUGCAAGUCGAACGCAGUGGGGACGGGUGAGUAACCCGUGGGUAACCUCCCAUCAGAGGGGAUACCACUUGGAAACCGGUGCUAAACCGAUACUGAUGGCUGGUCCCGCUGUGCAUUAGCUAGUGGGUGAGGUAACGGCUCACCAAGGCCACGAUGCAUAGCCGACCUGAGAGGGUGAUCGGCCACACUGGGACUGAGACACGGCCCAGACUCCUACGGGAGGCAGCAGUAGGGAAUCUUCGGCAAUGGGCGAAAGUCUGAUCGAGCAACGCCGCGUGAGUGAAGAAGGUCUUCGGGUCGUAAAACUCUGUUGUUAGAGAAGCGUUAUCUAACCAGAAAGCAACGGCUAACUACGUGCCAGCAGCCGCGGUAAUUC